UACAGAGGUGGCAAGCGUUGUUCGGAAUUACUGGGCGUAAAGGGCGUGCAGGCGGUCGACUAAGUCUGGCGUGAAAGCUCGCGGCUAAACCGCGAGAGGUCGUUGGAUACUGGUUGACUAGAGGACGGUAGAGGCGUGUGGAAUUCCGGGUGUAGUGGUGAAAUGCGUAGAGAUCCGGAGGAACACCAGUGGCGAAGGCGACACGCUGGGCCGUACCUGACGCUAAAACGCGACAGCAUGGGGAGCGAACGGG
rnacentral:rRNA from 1 species